rnacentral:rRNA from 1 species
AGUUCGAUUCUGGCUCAGAUUGAACGCUGGCGGGAUGCUUUACACAUGCAAGUAAGUCGAACGGCAGCACGGACUUCGGUCUGGUGGCGAGUGGCGAACGGGUGAGUAAUGUAUCGGAACGUGUCAGUAGCGUGGAUAACUACGCUGAAAGCGUAGCUAAUACCGCAUACGCCUCGGGGGCGCGACCUUCGGCCUCGCAUCGCACAGGAGCGGCCGAUAUCGGAUUAGCUAGUUGGUGGGGUAACGGCUCACCAAGGCGAUGAUCCGUGGCGCUGUUUGAGAGACGACCAGCCACACUGGGACUGAGAUACGGCCCAGAUCUGGCUGGAGGCAGGUGUAAAUCUUGGACAAUGGGAAACCUGAUCCAGCCAUCCCGCGCGUGACAGCACAGCCUUCGGGGCUGGCAGCACCUUUGGCAGAGGAAAUGCACGGGAUAAUACCUCGUGCAACUGACGGUACCUGCACGGGCGCACCGGCUAACUACGCCAGCAGCCGCGGUAAUAGCGAGGGCAAGCGUUAAUCGGAAUUACUGGGCGCAAAGCGUGCGCAGGCGGUUCGGAAAAACAGAGCGGAAAUCAGAGCGAACUUUUGGAACUGCAUUUUUAACUACCGAGCUAGAGGCCAGAGGAGGUGAAUCGGGCAAGCAGUGAAAUGCAGAUAUGCGAGGAACAAUUGAUAAGGCGCAGCCUCGGGAUAACACUGAUUACGUAUCGAAAGUGGGGAGCAAACAGGAUUAGAUACCCUGGUAGUCCACGCCCUAAAACGAUGUCAACUAGCUGUUGGGUCGGCCUGGUAGCGCAGCUAACGCGGAAGCUGACCGCCUGGGGAGUAUGGUCGUAAGAUUAAACCUAAAGGAAUUGACGGGGAUCUGCACAAGCGGUGGAUGAUGUGAUUAGACUGAUGCAACGCGAAAACUUACCGCAUCUUUGAUAUGUCUGGAAUCCCGAAGAGAUUUAGGAGUGCUCGCAAGAGAACCGGAACACAGGUGCUGUACGGCUUGCCGUCAAACGUGUCGUGAGAUGUUGGUUAAGUCCCAACGAGCGUAACCCGUCAUUAGUUACAAGGAGCGCACUUACUUUGAGACUGUUGGUGGACAACCGAGGAAGGUGGGGAUGACGUCAAGUCCUCAUGGCCCCGGCGUAAAUACACGUCAUACAAUGGCUGGACAGAGUCGCCAACCUGCGAGGGGGAGCUAAUCCCCGCAGAAACCGAUCAGAGUCCGGAUCGCAGUCUGCAACUGACUGCGUGAAGUCGAAAUCGCCAGUAACGACCAUGUCGCGGUGCAUUACGUUCCCGGGCCUUAAAGACAACGCCCGUCACACCAUGGAGUGGGUUUUACCAGAAGUAGUUAGCCUAACCGUAAGGAGGCGAUUACCACGGUAGGAUUCAUGACUGGGCAGUCGUACAGCAGCUCUGCAGCACACCUGAUGCUCCU